rnacentral:rRNA from 1 species
GUGGGGAAUAUUGGGCAAUGGGGGAAACCCUGACCCAGCAACGCCGCGUGAGGGAAGAAGGUUUUCGGAUUGUAAACCUCUGUCCUUGGUGACGAAGGAAGUGACGGUAACCAAGGAGGAAGCCCCGGCUAACUACGUGCCAGCAGCCGCGGUAAUACGUAGGGGGCAAGCGUUGUCCGGAAUGACUGGGCGUAAAGGGCGUGUAGGCGGCCGAUUAAGUCUGGAGUGAAAGUCCUGCUUUCAAGGUGGGAAUUGCUUUGGAGACUGGUUGGCUUGAGUGCGGAGGAGGUAAGUGGAAUUCCCAGUGUAGCGGUGAAAUGCGUAGAGAUUGGGAGGAACACCAGUGGCGAAGGCGACUUACUGGGCCGUAACUGACGCUGAGGCGCGAAAGCGUGGGGAGCGAACAGGAUUAGAAACCCGUGUAGUCC